GACGUAGGGGGCGAGCGUUGUCCGGAAUUACUGGGCGUAAAGAGCACGUAGGCGGGUAUUUAAGUCAGGUGUGAAAGACCGCAGCUCAACUGCGGGGUUGCACCUGAAACUGGGUAUCUUGAGGGCAGGAGAGGGCAGUGGAAUUCCUGGUGUAGCGGUGAAAUGCGUAGAAAUCAGGAGGAACACCAGUGGCGAAGGCGACUGUCUGGACUGACCCUGACGCUGAGGUGCGAAAGCGUGGGUAG
rnacentral:rRNA from 1 species